CAGCAGCCGCGGUAAUACGGGGGGAGCAAGCGUUGUUCGGAUUUACUGGGCGUAAAGGGCGCGUAGGCGGCCACCGCAAGUCAGUUGUGAAAUCUCUGGGCUUAACCCAGAAAGGUCAACUGAUACUGCGGGGCUAGAGUGCAGAAGGGGCAACUGGAAUUCUCGGUGUAGCGGUGAAAUGCGUAGAUAUCGAGAGGAACACCUGCGGCGAAGGCGGGUUGCUGGGCUGACACCGACGCUGAGGCGCGAAAGCUAGGGGAGCGAACGGGAUUAGAUACCCCGGUAGUCCUAGCCUUAAACGAUGAAUGCUUGGUGUCUGGGGUUUUAUAGUCCCCGGGUGCCGUCGCUAACGCUUUAAGCAUUCCGCCUGGGGAGUACGGUCGCAAGACUGAAACUCAAAGGAAUUGACGG
rnacentral:rRNA from 1 species